UACGUAGGGUGCGAGCGUUUGUCCGGAAUUACUGGGCGUAAAGAGCUCGUAGGUGGUUUGUCGCGUUGUUCGUGAAAACUCACAGCUUAACUGUGGGCGUGCGGGCGAUACGGGCAGACUGGAGUACUGCAGGGGAGACUGGAAUUCCUGGUGUAGCGGUGGAAUGCGCAGAGUAUCAGGAGGAACACCGGUGGCGAAGGCGGGUCUCUGGGCAGUAACUGACGCUGGAGGAGCGAAAGCGUGGGGAGCGAACAGG
rnacentral:rRNA from 1 species